rnacentral:rRNA from 1 species
GACGAACGCUGGCGGCGUGCUUAACACAUGCAAGUCGAACGGAAAGGCCCUGCUUUUGUUGGUUGCUCGAGUGGCGAACGGGUGAGUAACACGUGAGUAACCUGCCCUUGACUUUGGGAUAACUUCAGGAAACUGGGGCUAAUACCGGAUAGGAGCUCCUGCUGCAUGUUGGGUGUUGGAAAGUUUCGGCGGUUGGGGAUGGACUCGCGGCUUAUCAGCUUGUUGGUGGGGUAGUGGCUUACCAAGGCUUUGACGGGUAGCCGGCCUGAGAGGGUGACCGGCCACAUUGGGACUGAGAUACGGCCCAGACUCAUACGGGAGGCAGCAGUGGGGAAUAUUGCACAAUGGGCGGAAGCCUGAUGCAGCAACGCCGCGUGCGGGAUGACGGCCUUCGGGUUGUAAACCGCUUUCGCCUGUGACGAAGCGUGAGUGACGGUAAUGGGUAAAGAAGCACCGGCUAACUACGUG